rnacentral:sRNA from 1 species
UUUCUUGUAUCGCUGAGUCUUCAGUAAUGGAGAGCGGGGGAACCAAAUGUACCCGGGAAUGGAGAAAUCCAUCCGGUUAUGUUGUUCCAUGGGGUGAAUACGGGGCUUGCAGCAUAUUUCAUGCGUAAGUAUCUGUUAGGGCGACUCUCACGUCCGAAUCCGUCAGCUAACCUCGUAAGCGUGCAGAGAGAGGUAAC